rnacentral:rRNA from 1 species
UACGAAGGGGGCUAGCGUUGUUCGGAAUCACUGGGCGUAAAGGGCGCGUGGGCGGCUUUGUAAGUCGGGGGUGAAAGCCUGUGGCUCAACCACAGAAUUGCCUUCGAUACUGCAUGGCUUGAGACCGGAAGAGGUAAGUGGAACUGCGAGUGUAGAGGUGAAAUUCGUAGAUAUUCGCAAGAACACCAGUGGCGAAGGCGGCUUACUGGUCCGGUUCUGACGCUGAGGCGCGAAAGCGUGGGGAGCAAACAGG